ACUGACAUACGCUCGGGUGAACAUGGCUGAAGUAUCCGAGAGGACUUUGCAACUCGCCGUUGUUUUGUCCUUCACUUCGGGGGUCAUUAUCGGCUGGCAGGCAAAUAUCCUGCGGAGGAGGUUCCUGGAUUGGAGGAAGAGGCGGCUACAAUCGAAACUGGUUGAGACGCAGAAGAAAUUGGACUUGGCUUGAGUAAGGGAUAGUGAAAGGCGCCUCAGUCCGCAGGGACUUAGAAGCAGAAUUCUCCUUUUACCGUUGUCAUUUACUUUUUUUCUCCAGACAAACAGGCCAAUAACAUGCAGAAGGAAGGACCUGGAAUGCCAACAGUGACUGUGAAGAUACUAAUAGAGUCAGUUUUCCGGAGCAAUUAAGGGAAACAGCAACAGCCAUAGAAAAGACUCUUCUGUUUUGAACUCUGAUUCAGGAAUUGUUUACACAGAAAGCUGUUGUUUUGAACGUCUUUGACUAUGCCCAGGAAGCCACUUUGCUGCUCAUGUUGUUCUUUAAUGUGCAAAAUAUGUAUUGAUUUAAGGGUAAUUUGUAUCCAUGUUUUAAAUGAGAUACUAUUUCUAGUACAAAAGCUUUAGGGAUAGGAACAAGUCACGGCAAGCUAUUGUUUGAAAUGUUUCAAAAUAUAUUUCCCUUUUUAUAACAUUGUGCUCUUCGUCAAUUUAAAAUUGAUCAAGACAAAAGAGCCUUGUGUGUGAAACUUAAUUCUAACUGGCAUAUAUUUGAAAAUAAAAACUUUGGAAUUUAUAGGAUAAAUACCGCUCUUCUUGCACAGCAUCUGCAGUUGAUACUGUAGAGCUUUUCAAGGAUGAAUAUUGGAACGUUUUGAAGGGGAAUAUUUGUUUUUCCUUACAUUAUGAAUUUGAUGAGAUCUUCAGAUUGUCCUAAACUAACAGCGUUCAAGUUCAGGUGAAUUUUGAAAGUCUGUUUACUUUUGGGAAAGAUUCUGGCUUUUUGAACAUUUUUUUGGAAGGAGAGGGUAAAUAAAUGUUUAAUUUGGUAGUAUUUUAGUAGCACGGGCGUGUAAACAUAGAAUUAGCUCCAUGAAGUGUAAAGUGGGUUUUAGGGGUUAAGUCAACCACACUUUUUAAAGAAGAAAUUAAAUGUGCACUGAAAAAUAAAAAAUCUAAAAGUUAUACACAGGGAAAGCAUAAAAUGAGAUUGGAGAAGAUGACUCCAUAUGGAGCUAGAGUCAGCAUUUGUCAUGAUGGAGUGAAAUGUCUACAAUAUUGUCUUGCAUAAGUGGGAAAUAAUGCAGGCACUACUGCUGGCCUAAUUCUAGCCAUACCAAGAAUUUGACCGUAAAUGUGGAGUGAUGAGCUUCAGGUUUUUCUUUGCAUGAUUUGCACUGGUUCCUUUUAUAUCUUUAAGCAAAUUUACACAGGUAUCGAUGUUUCAUUGCCAUAAGCGAUGAGUACGUGUGGAAUUUGGAUUCUGAAUUUUCAUUGCAAAGUGUUAUUGGGACUGUGCUUUUUACUGCAGAGAAUACUAACCAAUGUGAAGAAAUGGCACCUGUUUAUUAUCAAUACGAUGCCUGUGUAUUUUUCUCACAAUACCUGUUUUAAUAAAGGCUGAUUAUUUGUA